rnacentral:ncRNA from 1 species
CCGUUGGCGGGAGGCUCUGACACGCGGCCCAAAGCCCUGGCCGCCGGGACCGCGCCGAGCCACUGGCGAGACCGACCCGUUGCAGC